UGGGGGAAGGCUUCUAUAAGGCAGUUCAUCAUCUUUCUCUCUAGUUCUAAGGAGGCACAGGACUUUCCAGCUUUGCUCCACUCCAAGCUUCGGUGUAAGUCUAAAAAACUAUUUGGCUCUUCCAUAAAAGAGCGAACCAUCACCCCAGUCGUUUGUCAUCUGGCUCCUCUGAUUCAGUAUCAUCUUGAGAAUCCAGGGACAUGUGAAGGUGACACCAUGCUGAUUUCGUUUUUGCUCUUUGUGUCGGAAAAAUGAAGUUCGGAAAAGAUGACAUGCCUGAAGUUAGUGGCCUGAAAGAAUCAACUCCUAAGAUUCUUGUGGAUUCUCUCCCUGGCUUAAAUAUAUACUAUGAAAUAGACACAUGAGGCAUAUCUUUGGUCACAUUGAGUUGCUUCUCAUUUCAUCAAAUCAACAAAUGGUGAUAUGAUGAACUUGAAAUUGGAGUUCUAUCGAUUUUGAGGACAGUGCUUGGGAUAUGAUAGGCACUCAAGAAUAUUGGAUGAAUGGAUGAAUAAAUUGCAAUGAGUGAAGUUUUACGAUGAAAUUUGAGAACCCACUUCAGGCAGCGUAAAACCAGUACAUGGCUAUGAUGGCUGAUGUUCGUACUUCUGCACCGCUACUAGACUGAAUCGAGAAUGACCACAAGACAACAUCGUGGAUCUUGUGUGUUUUCACAGCUUAUUCUGUGCUUUUAGAGUUGACAUAGGUAACUCAGGUAGAGGGCCUCAAAUCUUUGAUGACAAGGCUGGAGUUGGUGUGAUGGAGUGUAUUUUCUGCUUGUCUGGAUCUGAGGACUACAAAUCACUUGUUGAAUGCUUUAUUAUAAGAAUGGAAAAAGGAGCAAGGGAAGGAUCCAGAAAACCCAAGAGCUGAAGGAAUAUAACAGCAUCCAGGAUCCUGCGUGCUUUCUCUGAUAAUUCUGUUUUGCAGGAGUUGAGAUGUGAAUGUGAACACAAGAUUCAUUUUACUUGUGUAAGUAUCUGGAAAUGUCAACCGCAGUUUCUGAUUCUGCAAGUAAGGAGCUCAGAAUUUGCCACUACAUCUUUACAACAAAGGGACUGAAAAAUCAACAACUCUUCUUGAAUUUGUAAGAGAGGGGAAGACACAGAGCAAACAACUACUCCCAAGAUUGGACAGAUAAACAAGCAAAUAUCGGGAAUCUCAGCUUACUGAAUUGGAGACUCAGAAGUGGAAACCACUAUGGGAGCCAGCGCCAAGGAUGUUUGUCUAGGCCAAAAAAAUACAUACACAUGGAGGCCUGUGGCUCACAAUGAAAAAUUUGGAAAGAUCCUCUCUACAACAAGACCUCUGAUAAAAAGCGGAGAAUUUCAGAGAGAUGGAACAGUGCAUUUCUAGGGUUUAAGCUAUUUUCUUUCUUGGAAAUUAAUCCAGCAGAUUGACACAAAUGAGGAUAUAUCUUGUCUGAGUGAGUGAAGAAAGAAGAAAGGAUCAUUCUCUCUCAGCCUGAAAACCUGCAAGUCAAGCAUGCAGCAGGUCUUCACAAAGAAAAAGCAAGAGUCAUAGAAAAAUGGAUGGCACUAGACUGCUGGAGAUGAUCUGCAGGACUGGAGAAGUAACUGGGAAGCAGUGUCACUCAUAUCUCUGGGCUCUCAGAGGAGAGAGCAAGAGAGUGAGCAAGCACCAACCCCUGAAGAUCAUUGCUGGACUGAAGAACAACCUGGGAGCCAAGACCUCCAUCUCUUCUCAUAGGAUGCCAAGCUAAAGCUCACAUGGUUGUAUAAAGAAGAAUCAAUGUGUAAAGAAAAAAAAAAUUCUGUCCAGCACUGUUCUAAUUGAGCUCUACUAGAUCUGCAAUAUCUGCGUAUAAUGAGAUUCUGUGUUUUACCUGCUUAUUUUUGGGUCUCAGGAGUUGAGGUAAGUAACUCAGGGAGAGGGACUCAGAUCUAUGGUGACAGGUAGGAGUAAGAUGGAAUGUAUUUCCUGCUUAGCUAUUGGAUUGGGGGUGGGG